rnacentral:lncRNA from 1 species
GCCAGUAAGGGUGCACUGUUAGUACGCUGGUAUAUUUCCACCGGUAUUCCGUCAGGACCUGGAGCUCGGCCCAGAGUUGCCGCCUGGAGAGCGGCUUGCACUUCCUCUACUCCUGAUGACCUGCGCUCCAGCCCUUGACGCGUCUUCUGGUGUGCACGUCCUGCCCCUUGCACGAAGCGCUUGGGAGACACGUGUCCGUGCAUCUGGGUCAAUAUGGGGCUGUACUCCUAUUUGUUGCCAAUAAUCCGCCAUGAUAUUAGGAAGCUGUUGUAAAUUGCUACACAGCUUACCAGUUACAAGUUACAAGUUCCGCACACAAGUGCGGGUGUGUCCGUAAAAGCCGGGGGGGCCAUGGAC